UACGUAGGUGGCAAGCGUUGUCCGGAUUUAUUGGGUUUAAAGGGUGCGUAGGCGGCUUAUUAAGUCAGUGGUGAAAUACUCUAGCUCAACUAGAGGGGUGCCAUUGAUACUGAUGAGCUUGAGUACAGAUGAGGUAGGCGGAAUUGACGGUGUAGCGGUGAAAUGCUUAGAUAUCGCUCAAGAACACUAUAGCGAAGGCAGCUUACUAGGCUGUAACUGACGCUGAGGCACGAAAGUGUGGGGAUCAAAC
rnacentral:rRNA from 1 species